rnacentral:rRNA from 1 species
AGCCNUGCNCGUGUAGGAAGANUGCCCUAUGGGUUGUAAACUACUUUUAUAUGGGAAGAAUAAGGUCUACGUGUAGACUGAUGACGGUACCAUAAGAAUAAGCACCGGCUAACUCCGUGCCAGCAGCCGCGGUAAUACGGAGGGUGCAAGCGUUAUCCGGAAUCAUUGGGUUUAAAGGGUCCGUAGGCGGGCAUAUAAGUCAGUGGUGAAAGUCUGUGGCUCAACCAUAGAAUUGCCAUUGAUACUGUAUGUCUUGAAUUAUUGUGAAGUGGUUAGAAUAUGUAGUGUAGCGGUGAAAUGCUUAGAGAUUACAUAGAAUACCGAUUGCGAAGGCAGAUCACUAACAAUAUAUUGACGCUGAUGGACGAAAGCGUAGGUAGCGAACAGGAUUAGAUACCCUGGUAG